UGAAAUAUAGUUUCAACCAUGGGUCUUCAA
rnacentral:piRNA from 1 species